AAUAAUUCCAAUUUUUAAAAAGGGCCAAUGGAAAAUUGAUCAAGGAGACACAGGAAUGUGAACAUUAAAUACAAAUAAUAACAUAAUUUCAAAAAUAUUUUUAAGAACUGAAAGGAUUACAGGGAAAAUUUGGAAGAUUCACAAUCACCAUGGGAGGGUCUUUGUAGCACAGUUCUGUCAGGAAAUACAAUCAUAUAUUGCGUAACAAUAGGAAGAGGGAGGGAGAAAUGUGUCAUUAGGUGAUUCUGUCAUUGUUUGCUCAUCGUAGAGUAUACUGACUCAAACCUAGAUGGCAUAGUCUCCUGUAGGCCCAGGCUGUGUGGCAGAUCCUAUUGUUCCUAACCUACACACCUGUACAGCAUGUACAGGUACUAUAAGGGAUACUGUAAGCAACUGUAACACAAUGAUGCCUGCUCCAGCUGCCUCAUCUCCUCUUGUGUUCACAACAGACCUAGAAACCAGUGUCUCCCAGCAUGGUGACUUUCCAGAUGGGGAAACCGAGUCUUGGAGAAGUAUGAUGAACAUUCUAAGGAGAGAGGCCACCUUUGUUGACAAACUGGUGUUUUAUACGGAGGCAUCAUCCGGCUGGAAUGGAGCUGUCCCCAUAACGGUGAGAGUACAUGUUGUGAUUUGAGGGAGGCUGAGCUUAACAAGGUGACAGCAUGCUCCCACCUGCACCCCGGCAUAAAAGCAUUUCCAUUUCGCUUGUA
rnacentral:lncRNA from 1 species